rnacentral:siRNA from 1 species
CAUAGUCAUCUAGUGCAUAUAC